ACACACUCGAGGGCAUCUCUUUCACAGAAAGA
rnacentral:piRNA from 1 species